rnacentral:antisense_RNA from 1 species
AAUCUUCCAGAAAUUCAUGAAGAGACUUCAGGUCAGGAAAGCCUGAACUUUCUCAUCUAACACCUGUUCAAGUCGGAGGAUGCUGAUUAAUUCAUGAUGGAAAGGUAUCAAUUUCACAGCCCAGACUUCUACAUUCUUGAAAUGCUGUUCUCAUGGGAGACAUUAAAUAAGCUUUGAAAUAACUGGACUUAUCUUCCUCAGUUCCCUGUGGGGAACUUUUGUAGAGCCACACGAAAGGAGGUUUUUAGCUCUCACCUAUGGUCUUCAUCAUGCACCUCCUAGAUUCAAAAGUUCAGCAGGGGCAUGUCAAGCUAUAUAAAUAAAAACAAACUAAGACAAAAAUGUAACAUUCCAUACCUUAAAAUGCAACCUUAAUAACGUGAAAGACCCUGAAGGACUUGAGAUGUGAAGAUUUUCUACCACGGUCUUUGCAUGUAUUAUUUCUGACAGCUGUUCCUUUCUAUUCCCUCUUGCACACAUCUUUAGUUACUCCCUGUUCUCCAUCCCUCUGAUAAAAUCUAGUUCCCCCCUCAAAUUAGAAAAUUAAAAAAAAUAAAAAAUCUAAAAUUAAAAUUUAAAAAAUUUUUAAAAAUCUAGAGUUUACAAAAAAAUUUUCUAUCUCAGGCUUGUGAACCAUAUUGUUAGUUCACAAUUAAUAGUGAUGUACAUCUAUUGGACGAGUUUUAAUUAAUUCUUUCCCUUGGCUGAUUAGUAAGAUUCUGCAGUGAGUACAAAUGUU